UGCCAGCCGCCGCGGUAAUACGUAGGGUGCAAGCGUUAAUCGGAAUUACUGGGCGUAAAGCGUGUGUAGGCGGACUAUUAAGUCAGUGGUGAAAGGUAUCAGCUUAACUGAUGACGUGCCAUUGAAACUGAUAGGCUUGAGUACAGACGAGGUAGGCGGAAUUUAUGGUGCAGCGGUGAAAUGCAUAGAUACCAUAAAGAACACCGAUAGCGAAGGCAGCUUACUAGACUGAGACUGACGCUGAGGCACGAAAGCGUGGGGAGCGAACAGGAUUAGAUA
rnacentral:rRNA from 1 species